CGUAGGGUCCGAGCGUUGUCCGGAAUUAUUGGGCGUAAAGGGCUCGUAGGCGGUUUGUCGCGUCGGGAGUGAAAACAGCGGGCUUAACUCGUUGCUUGCUUCCGAUACGGGCAGACUAGAGGUAUGCAGGGGAGAAUGGAAUUCCUGGUGUAGCGGUGAAAUGCGCAGAUAUCAGGAGGAACACCGGUGGCGAAGGCGGUUCUCUGGGCAUUACCUGACGCUGAGGAGCGAAAGUGUGGGGAGCGAACAGGAUU
rnacentral:rRNA from 1 species